rnacentral:rRNA from 1 species
CCAACAUUAGUGUGCGAUGGAAGGACGCUUAGGGCUAAGGGGGCUAGCGGAUGGAAGUGCUAGUCUAAGGUCGUAGGAGGUUAUACAGGCAAAUCCGUAUAACAAUACUCCGAGAACUGAAAGGCUUUUUGAAGUCUUCGGAUGGAUAGAAGAACCCCUGAUGCCGUCGAGCCAAGAAAAGUUUCUAAGUUUAGCUAAUGUUGCCCGUACCGUAAACCGACACAGGUGGGUGGGAUGAGUAUUCUAAGGCGCGUGGAAGAACUCUCUUUAAGGAACUCUGCAAAAUAGCACCGUAUCUUCGGUAUAAGGUGUGGUUAGCUUUGUAUUAGGAUUUACUCCGAAAGCAAGGAAACUUACAACAAAGAGUCCCUCCCGACUGUUUACCAAAAACACAGCACUCUGCUAACUCGUAAGAGGAUGUAUAGGGUGUGACGCCUGCCCGGUGCUCGAAGGUUAAUUGAUGGGGUUAGCAUUAGCGAAGCUCUUGAUCGAAGCCCGAGUAAACGGCGGCCGUAACUAUAACGGUCCUAAGGUAGCGAAAUUCCUUGUCGGUUAAAUACCGACCUGCAUGAAUGGCGUAACGAGAUGGGAGCUGUCUCAAAGAGGGAUCCAGUGAAAUUGUAGUGGAGGUGAAAAUUCCUCCUACCCGCGGCAAGACGGAAAGACCCCGUGGACCUUUACUACAGCUUGACACUGCUACUUGGAUAAGAAUGUGCAGGAUAGGUGGGAGGCUUUGAGUAUAUGACGCCAGUUGUAUAUGAGCCAUUGUUGAGAUACCACUCUUUCUUAUUUGGGUAGCUAACCAGCUUGAGUUAUCCUCAAGUGGGACAAUGUCUGGUGGGUAGUUUGACUGGGGCGGUCGCCUCCCAAAUAAUAACGGAGGCUUACAAAGGUUGGCUCAGAACGGUUGGAAAUCGUUCGUAGAGUAUAAAGGUAUAAGCCAGCUUAACUGCAAGACAUACAAGUCAAGCAGAGACGAAAGUCGGUCUUAGUGAUCCGGUGGUUCUGUGUGGAAGGGCCAUCGCUCAAAGGAUAAAAGGUACCCCGGGGAUAACAGGCUGAUCUCCCCCAAGAGCUCACAUCGACGGGGAGGUUUGGCACCUCGAUGUCGGCUCAUCGCAUCCUGGGGCUGGAGCAGGUCCCAAGGGUAUGGCUGUUCGCCAUUUAAAGCGGUACGCGAGCUGGGUUCAGAACGUCGUGAGACAGUUCGGUCCCUAUCUGCCGUGGGCGUAAGAAGAUUGAAGAGAUUUGACCCUAGUACGAGAGGACCGGGUUGAACAAACCACUGGUGUAGCUGUUGUUCUGCCAAGAGCAUCGCAGCGUAGCUAAGUUUGGAAAGGAUAAACGCUGAAAGCAUCUAAGCGUGAAGCCAACUCUAAGAUGAAUCUUCUCUAAGCUCUCUAGAAGACUACUAGUUUGAUAGGCUGGGUGUGUAAUGGAUGAAAGUCCUUUAGCUGACCAGUACUAAUAGAGCGUUUGGCUUAUCUUU